GACAGGAAGCCUUGGGGUGGGGUGUGUGUGUGUGUCUGUCUGUCUGGUGGGGGGGCUUGGCAGACGACGCCAAGCUCUCAAGGGCUGGGACAGGUCCUUCGUUCGCGGAGGGCACUAGUCAAGGGCACUAGUCAAGGGCACUGGAACGCGGAGGUGGCCGAGCCACACUCAGGACCGUGGGCGCCCCGGCCGCGGGGCCGCCUUGGCCCGCGCCCCCCCAGCCCCCGCGUGCUUAGCGCCGCAGCGCAGCGCCUUCGGCUGGUUUCUCCCGCCCCUGGAUGGUCCCUGUUCCCUCGGCUUCUGUCUACCACCCACCUGGAUGCCUGCAGCCGCUGGCCUCUCUCCCCCCGGGUGCUCAAAACCAGCAGCGCCCCGGAGAGGAGAAAGAGGGUCCCCCGUCCUUUGGGGCCGCGCGGGACCCGGGUGCGGGGGAUAGGUCCCCCACCAUCCAUUUCCCAAAAGUCGCCGCAGAUGUGCGGCCACCGGGAGUCACGUAGUGUGCGGCGAGCGUCGGAGCUCGGAGAGGCCUGGGCGGGGGUGACCGGGCGAAGCCAGAGUGCAGAGGCUUCUCACGAAAGGGGAAGCUCCUUGCGGGGGUGCAGCUUUCGGCCGAAAUUUAGCUCCGCAGGAGCUUGGGAUGUUUGCUGUUCUCCCCUCGCCUUUAGUUUCAUUUAUUCUCUUCCAAAGAGCAUGUUCCUUCCCCGGAUGUUGGGUGUUUUCCAUCCUCCCUCAAAAAGGAUACGCCGGGAAAGGAACAUGCAGAUUGUUGAACACUCUUUGGUUGGAGCCUGAGGAAGGCUCAUCUUGACGCUGAAGAGCCUAGAGCUUUCAGGGAGUGUAAAAUUUGCAAAAUUAAGAUCCCGCGGCAAGUCUUUUUGAAAGACAACUCUCCCAUCCCCGAUCCCCAUCCCCAGCUGCAUAAAACUUUGAUGAGCCCUGGGCUGUGAGUCUUUGGAGGUUAAGGAGUCUGUAGGAGGAUUUGAAAAGUUGCAGCUGUAGACCAGAGGGGGAGAGAGAAAGAACUAGGAAGUCCUGGAAGGGGAAAGGAGUGGCUUUAGAUGGAAGCAAAGCUCAGAAUGACCCCAGAGGAGGUCCUUGUGCCCCCCCCGCCCCGCGCCUCCUUCCUUUUUCUCCCUUUCCUGCUUUCAGUCCUCCCUCGUGCUUGUAG
rnacentral:lncRNA from 1 species